rnacentral:rRNA from 1 species
UGGGGAAUAUUGGACAAUGGGCGAAAGCCUGAUCCAGCCAUGCCGCGUGUGUGAAGAAGGUCUUCGGAUUGUAAAGCACUUUAAGUUGGGAGGAAGGGCAGUAAGCGAAUACCUUGCUGUUUUGACGUUACCGACAGAAUAAGCACCGGCUAACUCUGUGCCAGCAGCCGCGGUAAUACAGAGGGUGCAAGCGUUAAUCGGAAUUACUGGGCGUAAAGCGCGCGUAGGUGGUUCGUUAAGUUGAAUGUGAAAGCCCCGGGCUCAACCUGGGAACUGCAUCCAAAACUGGCGAGCUAGAGGAGGGCAGAGGGUGGUGGAAUUUCCUGUGUAGCGGAGAAAUGCGUAGAUAUAGGAAGGAACACCAGUGGCGAAGGCGACCACCUGGGCUCAUACUGACACUGAGGUGCGAAAGCGUGGGGAGCAAACAGG